rnacentral:rRNA from 1 species
AUGUGCCCCCCCACCUUCCGCCUCUACCUCACAACCUGGGUCGCCAAGCUCGCCGCCUGCUUCAAGCCUUCAACCCCUACCUCCAGAUCACCAUCUCGAAGUACGGCGCCGAGCGCUUCUAGCGCAGUGACUUCUUCCUCGUCGUUGAGGCCAACCUCAGCGACGCCUGCGCCCGCCGCGCGCGCAAGCUCAAGGCCGAGCUCGGCAAGGACAGCAAGAACCUCCGGGUCUCCGUGGACGACCACGAGGAGGUCACUGACGACUUCUGCGGGACCACCAUCUGGUGGUACGCCUCCAAGAGGCAAUCCAAGGCCAACGUCAUCCAUUUAUACCCCGGCCAGGACGAGAGGCGCUUCUACCGGGUUGUCUUCCAUCGACGGCACCGCGACCUUGUCGUUGACUCCUACCUUCCUUUCAUACUCGGCGAGGGCCGCGCUGUCACUGUGA